GAAACAUUGAUGGAUGACAUUGAAACUAAUAAAUUCCAAAAUUAUUACAAUUAAAAUCCUCCUAAAGUUACGUAAAUUGAUAGUUUGGCAUAAUAAUAUGCCUUAUGGAAGCACAAAUUCAUUCUCAUUCUUUGUUUAAAAUUCAUAACAAUCAAAUCCAUAUGUCUAGCCCGCCAAUUGAUCAUGAAGAACUCGAAAGAUUAUCAUUCUGAAACCCUUUGGAUACAGUAGUUGAAGACAUAUGAGAAGUUGCUGAAUAUGAUACCUGUUCUUCUCUUUGCUCAACUUCAGCAGUAAAUUUUACCUGGGAAGUUGUUUCUCCUUCAGGCGAUUCAUGAGCUAAUUUAACUUCUGCAGACUCUGUCGAUUUUAUCAGAGCUGAUGCUUCCUGAAAUGCUUCACCGAAUAUGUUCUGGAAAUUAGUCUUAAAGUCUUCAUGUAAUUCACUUUUGAAUUUAGUUUGACAAGGACCAGACAAUUUCUGGAACGAAGCAUUUUCUUGUAGUCGCCGAAGCUCUUGUUGCAACAUCCGUUUCGACUCGUACUCGAACUGACGACUCAUAGUUACCGAUUCAUAUUUACAGUCCAGGCCAGAAGCAACAGUUCCAUUCUCAUGUUUCUUAGGAAUUCCAUCCGGGCCUGUAGAAUCUUUAGGGAAUAGCCAUCGGUAAAUUUGAAAGUAUCUCUUAAGGCUAAUUACGGUGCGACAUCUGGGUGUUGUGGAAUGUCCACAAGGACGACGGCAAAGUGAAUUGCCCGAUUGGUUUUGGUCUCCUUUUGGAUCAUCCAAUCGAAGGGAGAACCACUGAGAUUGUUUGGAAUUUUCAGCUUCUGACUCUGUCGUGCAUCGUAGUUUCCAACCCUGGGAACUUGCCUCGUCAUACUCUUUCUCGCACCGAAGAUUGAACUUCUUCUGGGGUUCUUGCGAUUUCAUCCAAUCGACGAGCCAUUGGAUGUUCUCUCCUUCACUAUUCUCAUUCAUCGACUCCACUGUGUCACACUCUCUUGUUAUUGUCAUAACAAGUAAUAAGAAUAGCACAAAGGGUACGAUGAACUUUAACCAUGGCCACCAAGAGGAAGACCCAUUUCCGUUUGUCACUUUUGUGGACUCUUUUUCUGGAGACAUUUUCAAGUUCUGAACUAAGAUUUUUGUUUUUCUGCCUAAUUUUUG
rnacentral:misc_RNA from 1 species